UUGAGCAUUGGAGUCUAAUGCAGCAGUUAGGGCAUAAGGCUAAGACAUGCAUUAUUAAACACAGAAGAACCUGAUCAAAAGAACCGUUAUCCACAGCUAAUCCCGGGAACUGUGAGGCAACACAGUUCAUUUCAAACCAGAACAGACAGACCACGUUAUUAAUUAACUCGCAGUACCGCUGGGUGUUUUUCGCUGUUUAUUAGCCUGACUGACGGCAAACCUCCAAACCUCCCGCGCAUGUCGUCAUCUCCCUAGUGAACACGGGCUCCAUGCUGAUUCUUCACGUGUUACCAGCAGCUGAGGGGAGGAAAUCCACAUGAACCUCAGCAGGAUGAUGAAAGGACAUUUGAAAGCGUAUUUGAUUCAUGUCUGAAUUUUCUGACCCUGUAGUGUUUCUCAGGAACUCCUGGUCUGACCCAGUCUCUAGGACAGGAAAAAGCAGGCAGUACGUCACGAACAGCCUUCAGUUGCCUUAGACAGGUCAGGAGGUACCCUCCAGCCGCCUGCAUUUUCGAGGAAGAGACUCAUGGGAAGGCUGAAGCCUGAUUUAAAGUAAAUGACUGAAAAGCAGUGCCAGACGUCCUCCGUUUUCCACCGCGAGCAAGCUUUGAGGAUACGAGUGGCUCAUUGCAUCAAUCAAGGGCAGCAAUUUUUGGCAGAUUUUCAUUUUAUGGAAUAUAUGAAUAUAAUCAUCUCCCUGAGAGUCUUUCUGACUUGUAUAAACAGAACACUUUGUGGCCACAGUUGACUGACAGUAGCUACGAACCUUGUUUGAUCAGUUAGUUCAGGAUGAAGGCUCUUUAGUAAUACUUAACAUGUUUGAAUACAGAAAAAAAGACUGAAUGAAAGAAACAUUGACAAAAUUCACUUCAUAGAGUGUUACUAUGGCAACCAAAAGCUCUCAACAACGACAGAAUGCAUAGAGAGAAGAGCACUUUAAACUGCAGAAGGGCACUUCUGAUGUCACCGGGAAGUAAUAAAGUGGUUACUGUAAUGAACUCCAGAGGGAAGGUUGAACCGAGAGAAUAAACCCAUAAAUACUUAAUACCUUACAUAGCAUUUGCCAUUUAACCAAAUCUAGUCUUUUUAAAGUGUGUGCAUCAAACGCGUUCUAAAGCUCAGCAAGGCUAAAAGCCACUAAAUGAGGAUAUUAAAACUUGGCGGAACAAUAUUGUGUAGCCACGCCCAAUUAAUCUCCACUUUGUUUCAGUUGGACCAAUUUCAUGCUCCUCUGAUCAGACAAAACACUCGCAGACCUGCCACUUUACCAGCCGCUGAGAACCCCGACCAGGCAUCGGUGAUUAGUGAGGCUGCAUUUCCAAGAGUGGAUACUUCCUUCUGAACUGCGCUGUGCGCCAUAUGUUUGCGAGCAACUGGAGCAACGACACUGGCAGGAGGAGUCCAGGUUGUGAGGCGAGAGAAGAUUCCAGAACACACAGCCAUUAUGCAAAGGAUACAGAAGUUGACCCUCAAGUGUCAGAAGACCUCUCAAAACUGUGCUCACAUUUACCAAGAAACCAAUUCUUCAACCAAAUCAUUAGGUUCAGUUCUCGACAGUUAAGCCUGAGAAUGAGGUGUUGAAGACUUCAGGAUGUGAAGAUUUUCUCAGAGAUCCUCACAAGUCUGUUAAAGGAUCCUCCCUCAGUAUAACUGAACGGAGAAAACUUUUGACUGCUCCUGCAUCAUGCAUCACUUUGUUCUGCGUGUCUCUAUGGUGGAUUCUGCUGCCUGCUGGAGAACUCCUGCCACAUGUUCACACACCGGAGGAAAACAGAAGAGACUGAAUGCCAUCAAUCAUAAUUGCACAAACCUGGGCUCUGCUACACACUGUCUCACAUAAACUAAUUUAUGGACAGACAGAGGACCAAGCCCUUUCUCUUCACUGCAGCGAGUUUGGCGGCAUCCAUGUUUAAUACAGAUUAGUCAUCUCUGGAAACAUCACCCUGCUGAUCUCAAGGCCAUGUGGAGGGGGAGGUGAAGGUGACGCCAGCCCCCAUUUGUCGCAUCCGUGACUCUUUGUACUGCUGGACCUGCUUUAUCGUCCUCCAUCAGUGAGCAAAUAAUCUGAUCCCACAGGCCACCUAUUUCUCAAAAUAACAGUACAUGUAAAAUUAGUUUGAAUUUUGAAUGUGAUUUACAGAUGUGAUGCUCUUAACAAUGGUGUUGUCACGAAAAAUCUUUAAAGAGAACCCGUACCUUAAUCCUGAGAGAGCAAAACGGGGCCAACAGUGAGGGAAAAAUAUGAAGAACUCCCUUAAGUGAGAAAAAGCAACUUGGUAAGCAAGAUAAACAAUAAAACAAACAAAAACACCCCUACGGAGAAGAAGCCAUCUGCCUGUGCUAGGCAUGCAUUUCUAAAAAUGAAUCAUCAAUCUGUUUUUAAACUAUAGUAAACAAUUGCAUGACUCCAACUCUGUGUUGAAAGGCAGCAAGCUAGAAAAUAAGAAUCAUCUUAUGUGGCAAUAAAGGAAAUGAAUUUCAUAUUGCAUAUAAAUCAGACCAGGAAAAUGUCUGGCUACUCGAUGCAGGCCACCGACUGGGCUUUGGCCAUGCAGAGAAUUGUGUUAUAGAAAUUUCAUCUAUUUCAUACACGGCGAUAAACUCAAACUACCAUGAAACAAUAAAAACCGCUGACCAAAGA